UACGAAGGGUGCAAGCGUUGUUCGGAAUCAUUGGGCGUAAAGCGCGCGCAGGCGGAUCAGUAAGUCAGGUGUGAAAUCUCGAAGCUCAACUUCGAAAUUGCGCCUGAAACUACUAGUCUAGAAUGUCGGAGGGGGCAGGGGAAUUUCACGUGUAGGGGUAAAAUCCGUAGAGAUGUGAAGGAACACCGGGGGCGAAGGCG
rnacentral:rRNA from 1 species